GACGAACGCUGGCGGCGUGCUUAACACAUGCAAGUCGAACGGAAAGGCCCCUUCGGGGGUACUCGAGUGGCGAACAGGUGAGUAACACGUGAGUAACCUGCCCUUGACUUCGGGAUAACUUCAGGAAACUGGGGCUAAUACCGGCUAGGAAUCCUUGCUGCAUGGUGGGGGUUGGAAAGCUUCGGCGGUUUUGGAUGGACUCGCGGCUUAUCAGCUUGUUGGUGGGGUAGUGGCUUACCAAGGCUUUGACGGGUAGCCGGCCUGAGAGGGCGACCGGCCACAUUGGGACUGAGAUACGGCACAGACUCCUACGGGAGGCAGCAGUGGGGAAUAUUGCACAAUGGGCGGAAGCCUGAUGCAGCAACGCCGCGUGCGGGAUGACGGCCUUCGGGUUGUAAACCGCUUUCAGCAGGGGCGAAGCUUGUGGUGACGGUACCUGCAGAAGAAGCACCGGCUAACUACGUG
rnacentral:rRNA from 1 species